rnacentral:rRNA from 1 species
GGCGCACGGGUGAGUAACACGUGGGAAUCUGCCCAUCUAUGGGGAAUAACUGCGGGAAACUGCAGCUAAUACCGCAUACGCCCUUCGGGGGAAAGGCUUCGGCCGUAGAUGGAUGAGCCCGCGUCCGAUUAGCUAGUUGGUGGGGUAAUGGCCUACCAAGGCGACGAUCGGUAGCUGGUCUGAGAGGAUGAUCAGCCACACUGGGACUGAGACACGGCCCAGACUCCUACGGGAGGCAGCAGUGGGGAAUAUUGGACAAUGGGCGAAAGCCUGAUCCAGCAAUGCCGCGUGAGUGAUGAAGGUCUUCGGAUUGUAAAGCUCUUUCGACGGGGAAGAUAAUGACGGUACCCGUAGAAGAAGCCCCGGCUAACUUCGUGCCAGCAGCCGCGGUAAUACGAAGGGGGCUAGCGUUGUUCGGAUUUACUGGGCGUAAAGCGUGCGUAGGCGGCUUAUCAAGUCAGAAGUGAAAGCCCGGGGCUCAACUCCGGAAUGGCUUUUGAGACUGGUAGGCUGGAGUUCGGGAGAGGGUAGUGGAAUUCCCAGUGUAGAGGUGAAAUUCGUAGAUAUUGGGAAGAACACCGGUGGCGAAGGCGGCUGCCUGGCCCGAAACUGACGCUGAGGCACGAAAGCGUGGGGAGCACACAGGAUUACAUACCCUGGUAGUCCACCCCGUAGACGAUGAGUGCUGGACGUUGCGAUACUUACUAUCGCAGUGUCGUAGCUAACGCGUUAUUCACUCCGCCCG